rnacentral:rRNA from 1 species
CCUUAGAGUUUGAUCCUGGCUCAGGACGAACGCUGGCGGCGUGCCUAACACAUGCAAGUCGAGCGGGGAACUGCGGAAUGAGAUUUCGGUCGAAUGAAACAGUUUCUAGCGGCGGACGGGUGAGUAACGCGUGAGCAACCUGCCUAUCACUGGGGAAUAACGCAUCGAAAGGUGUGCUAAUACCGCAUGAGACCACAAGAUCGCAUGGUCAAGGGGUCAAAGAUUUAUCGGUGAUAGAUGGGCUCGCGUCUGAUUAGCUAGUUGGUGAGGUAACGGCCCACCAAGGCGACGAUCAGUAGCCGACCUGAGAGGGUGAUCGGCCACAUUGGAACUGAGAAACGGUCCAAACUCCUACGGGAGGCAGCAGUGGGGAAUAUUGGGCAAUGGGCGCAAGCCUGACCCAGCAACGCCGCGUGAAGGAAGAAGGUCUUCGGAUCGUAAACUUCUAUCCUUGGUGAAGAUAAUGACGGUAGCCGAGAAGGAAGCCCCGGCUAACUACGUGCCAGCAGCCGCGGUAAUACGUAGGGGGCAAGCGUUGUCCGGAAUGAUUGGGCGUAAAGGGCGCGUAGGCGGCCUGUUAAGUCUGGAGUGAAAGUCCUGCUUUUAAGGUGGGAACUGCUUUGGAUACUGAUGGGCUUGAGUGCAGGAGAGGUAAGCGGAAUUCCCGGUGUAGCGGUGAAAUGCGUAGAGAUCGGGAGGAACACCAGUGGCGAAGGCGGCUUACUGGACUGUAACUGACGCUGAGGCGCGAAAGUGUGGGGAGCAAACAGGAUUAGAUACCCUGGUAGUCCACACUGUAAACGAUGAAUGCUAGGUGUAGGGGUAUCGACCCCUUCUGUGCCGGAGUAAACACAAU